UGCUGUUUUUGUCAGUGGUAUACGAAACAGACCUUAUUGUUUCCCAAUAAAAAGAUAAUAACUGUUCCCACGCAACAGUAUUUCAUUGACAGCAAAAGGAAAUAAUGUUUUCCUAGAAACAUUUUUUUACACAUUCGAUUGGUGUUCUGGCAAGUGAACGAAAUGGCGACUACAGGCCAGAAUUUACAAGUCUGUAAAAGUGAGACAGAUUUAACAGUCGCAGGCAAGUUGUUUAAUCAAGGCGGCUCCGCAAAAGCAUGUCUCUUGGAUUGGGCUGGCGGCAAAUGUAACGAAACCACUUCGGAAAAGCAACAGAUUUUAACAAAAGCUGGUUUUGUAAAUGAAAUAACCCACGGUGUAAGUACACAGUCUUCAAUAUCUGCUGGCCAGUUGAUUAACCCCAGUCCGAAAACACGUUUUCAACAACGCAUGUUGGCUAAAAAUGAAAGGGACUACGCGAGCAAGAAAACGCCACUCGGCAUGUCUACAAUAUCAAAACCGCCCGCCGGUUCAUCGUUCGGCAUACAGCCUGAUAAUACGCAACUGUACGGAAUUCCAACUGAGUUAGACAUUGAAGCUGGAAAGAUAGUGAAUCCAGAUAAAACUAGAAAACAAGUCGACGAAGAAACCAAAGCAGGACACGACCAGUACGUUGUCACUCAUCACGAUUACGACGUCGGCGAAAUGAUAGACAGAAAAUAUAAUUGGAACGGUUCAAACCCUCGCACGACAAGGUUUGGUAUUGAAACGCCUCAUUAUAACGACGGGCGAGACAUGGCGGAGACACUGCGUUGGAUGCAUAAGAAACGAGCUGAAAAAAUAACGACCCUCGUAGAGAAAAGCGUCGAUGACUUUAGAGAACGAACCCAGCCACAGCUUGGAAAGCCGCAUGAUCCUAUUGCUGAUACGCUAAAUGUAGCUAAUGAUCAUACUUAUGGUAUCAUUAUCAAACCCGAUCAGUAUGGCGUCGGGGAUUUACUGCAUAUGAGGUCGCCUAGAAAUUACUUGCUUGGAAAGGACAGAGAGCGUGGUGUUCUCGCUACAGUCCGACAGCAGUUGAAAAAAGCGAAUUACCACAACUUUAGUGAUCUCAGGACAGCGUUCGAGCAUUACGAUACAGACAAAGUCGGAUGGCUCGACGCCCAAAAGAUCCGGGACGCUUGUUGGAAGUUUAACUUGCCAAUUGAUAAUGACUUGCUCGCAUCUCUUAUGCAUUACUGCAAAGUUGAAACCGACGACGAAAAAGACUGCAAACUUGAUUACAUCAAUUUUGUCAACUUUCUCAACUGGAAGGAUAAAUACGCAGUCUCUAGGCAUGAUAGCGGGCCAGUUUCACCAGUCAAAGACAUAGACGUACCAAAACUAUGCAAGCAGAUUGACGAUGCUAUGACAAACCAUUUAACGUCUUCUUCAACAAUUGAUGCUGUGGCCGGAAAAGUUAACACAAACGAAUUCCGGACCUACGGUGUGCCCACUGUGCGAUCUGACCUGCCUGCGCCACGCACACGGCGCAUAAGCGACCAUAAGAACUAUGGCGACGAGUCGGACGCUUACGGGCUUGUCAAUCCAUCAUUGUAUACUCGACGAGGCGUUUAUGAAAGGGACUUUUUCGAACCGCGUAAGCGUGAAGAUAUUAGGGCUAUUUUCGAUGCGAUUGAAAUCCAGCUUUCGGAAGAGGUGUUUGACAAGAUUUGGAAACUUGCUGUGCAAUGGAACUGCUGUUCUUCUGAAGGGAAAGAAUUAGCGUCUGUGGAAGCUUUCCGCAAAGUGCUGGACAAAUUAAGAGCGUCAUCUUUACACCAUGAAGCGAAAGAAGAAACUUCAUAAUAUGUGUCUAGCUACCAGAUUUAACACUAUAGUUUUUAUGAUCGAACACUGCAUAGUCGAAAUAAAAAUAUAUUUAAUGUUCCUCACAAUAAAAA